rnacentral:lncRNA from 10 species
CUGGUGUAUUGAGAAACUUUCAACAGACGUAUGAAGUUGAAGCUGAGCAGGCAAAAGGAGAUGAGUUUAGAAAAACUCGAGAAGAGGGAGAGGUGAGAUAACCUGUGGCUUCUCAGGACAUGAUGUGAUGGCUAGAGCUAGAACAGUCAUGUUGGAUCUCUGAAAUGGAAAUCGUAGAAAUUGAGAAUGACGGAGCAAAAAGAGAGUAGUGAGUAUGUCCUCAAAAGAAAGAAGCAUGCAUUUCCUUUCCUUUUUUCCCCCUGCUGGCUAAUGACAAAGAUGAUGACUGGAGCCAGAGCAGCCAUGGUGGAUCAAGAGAUGAAAGCCACAGUUGAAGAUGGCAGAGCUAUUACACAGAGGGAGGCUGUGUCUCUAAGAUGGCACAGCUGCUGCAUACCAAUAACCCUGCCUAUCCAAACUAUUACGAGACACGGCCGGGCAUGGUGGCUCAUACCUGUAAUCCCAGCACUUUGGAAGACCAAGGCAGAUGGAUCACCUGGGGUCAGGAGUUUGAGACCAGCUUGGCCAACAUGGUGAAAUCCUGUCUCUACUAAAAAUACAAAAAUUAGCUGGGCGUGGUGGUGAACACCUGUAAUCCCAGGUACUUGGGAGGCUGAGGCAGGAGAAUCACUUGAACCUGGGAGGUGGAGGUUGCAGUGAGCCGAGAUGGUGACACUGGACUCCAGACUGGGUGACAAGAGUGAAACUCCAUCUAAAAAAAAAAAGAGAGAAAAAGAAAGAAAAAAAAGAAAAAGAAGACAGGCCUAGCAUAAGAAACUUGGGAAUUGGAAAAAUAGCAGUACUUUUAGUAAAGAUAAAAUGCUUUUCAUUAGAAAUAGUCAUGCUGGGCAGGCGUGGUGGCUCACAUCUGUAAUUCCAGCACUUUGGGAGGCCGAGGAAGGAGGAUCACGUGAGGUUGGGAGUCCCAGACCAGCCUGACCAACGUGGAGAAACCCCGCCUCUACUAAAAAAAAUACAAAAUUAGCAGGGCAUGGUGGUGCAUGCCUGUAAUCCCAGCUACUCCAGAGGCUGAGGCAGGAGAAUUGCUUGAACCUGGGAGGCAGAGGUUGUGGUGAGCCAAGAUCACUCCAUUGCACUCCAGCCUGGGCAACAAGAGCGAAAUUCCAUCUCAAAAACAAAACAAAACAAACAAAAAAAAGAAAUAGUCAUACUGUAAGUUUUAACUUAUAACUUUAAAAGGCACAGAUGUAUGUGUUUCUGGUAUAGGAUGAUGCUUUUUUCUAGUUAUAUGCAUAUGUAAAUAUACAUAUUCAUGCCAACUUUUAAAAUGUAUACAGUGGACAUAUUCCGUAUAUGUAAUUCAAAAACAAUAAAAACAGAUCAAGAGGUUUGAAAUGUUUUGUGUAUUUAACAAGUAUUUAUCAAAAAUAAAGGAG